GACGAACGCUGGCGGCGUGCUUAACACAUGCAAGUCGAGCGAUAAAUUCUUACCAGAACCUUUCGGGGGGAAGAUUAGACGGAAUAGCGGGGGGCGGGUGAGUCGCACGUGUGUAACGCCUCUUUUACGCAGGUAUCGCCUCAGAAAAACUGGUUAUACACCUGAUGACACUAUCAAAUCACAUGAUUGAGGAAGUUAAAACUCCGGUGGUAAAAGAUGGGCUCGCGGCCCAACAGCUAGUUGGUGUAGGUAACGGCCCACCAAGGCAGCGAUGGAUAGCCGACCUGAGAGGGUGAACGGCCACAGUGGGACUGAGAAACGGACCAAACUCCUACGGGAGGCAGCAGUGGGGAAUAUUGCACAAUGGGGGAAACCCUGAUGCAGCGACGCCGCGUGAGCGAAGAAGUCCUUCGGGACGUAAAGCUCUAUCAGAUGGGAAGAAAAUGACGGUACCAUAAGAAGAAGCCCCGGCUAACUACGUG
rnacentral:rRNA from 1 species